rnacentral:lncRNA from 1 species
AUGGCACGGUAUGGCACAGCACGGCACAGCAUGGCACAGCCUGGCACAGCACAGAACGGCCUGGCACAGCACAGAAUGGCAUGGCACAGCAUGGCACAGCUUGGCACAGCACAGAAUGGCAUGGCACAGCAUGGCACAGCUUGGCACAGCUUGGCACAGCCUGGCACAGCCUGGCACAGCAUGGCACAGCCUUGCACAUCAUGCAACACCACGGCACAGCCUAGCACAGCAUGGCACAGCAUGGCACGGCUUGCUUUGGCACGGCACGGCUCGGUGCAUCCCUCCAAGAAGGCCAAGGCUGCAGUGCGUGCCCGCCGCAGCAGGACAACGCGUCCCAGCCCACCCAGCACAGCGACGCUCCCGUCACCGCCGCCCUCUGUCCCCGAGCGAGGCGCACAAGGGGACGCUUUCUGCGGGGACAAGGGGGCUCUGUGCAGGGCCCGCGGUGCCACCCGGCCCCGCCGCCCCGGGGUCAUGCGGCCGCGCUGCCAGCGCCCCGCUGACGCCGUGCCCUCGUGCCUCACUGGGGCUUUGUUUUGGCCGCGGGGGACAAUUUGUGCUGGGGACCAAGGGGCUGAGUCCCACGGGACACGCGGCCAUCCUGCCACCGAGCCCUGCGUGCUGCAAACACCCAGAGCCGGCCUCGGAGCUCCGGGUGCAGCCAAACACAGGCAGCGGAGUCAAAAACACAACUGGGGUUUGGGGGAAAAAAAAAAAAGAACCAACAAAAAGACACCAAACCAGCUCUUUUGCUUACCUUGCUCUUCUUGCUCGCGAGGCUGCGGUGCUUGGCCGGGCCCGUGGCGGGUGUGCGGGCAGCAGAGGGGGACGUUUCUGUUGCUUUCUCUUUUGUUUUUGGUAAAAGUGAGGCAGGCACUCACACCUCACGCCGUGCUGCCAGCACACUUGCUCUGCCUGGGAAAAGCCGCUCGUAGCAGAAGAGGAAGCAGCAGCCAAGGCAGAGGGGUGCUGCUGCGAGCCCGGGGGGUGCCGCUGUGCCCUGGGGGGUUCCGGGAACCCCAAAAGGAAGGGGAUCCGGAGAGGACGGAGCCCGAAAGCUGGGGAUCCCCGAGCAGCCCAUGCUGGGGUGGUUGCUGCUGGCGCUGGCGGCGCUGGCGCGGGGCGGUGAGUGCUGCUGCGGCGUGCGGAGAUGAGAGAUAA